GUCAUUUUAGUUUAAAUAAGAAUGUUUAUUUUGUAAAUAAGAGGUUUAAGUUGGCU
rnacentral:tRNA from 1 species